rnacentral:lncRNA from 1 species
UUGUUCCAAACAUCCAAUUUUCAAUUACAGCUGUUCUGAAACUGGAAAUUGCAUAAGCCUAAUGGAAACUGGUAUCCUAAUCUUCAAUUCUCAUCAAAUUAAAGCAUGUACAUUUUUGAAAUGAAAAUGAUAAAUAAGGAAUGAGCAAUGAAGUUUUGUUGUCCGCACCCAAUGAAGUUUUUUGUUGUCCGCACCCAAUUGAAAUGGAAACCGGUGGGGAUAGUGGUUGAGAAUGGGAGUAGUGUGGCAAAGUGCAGGUUAGCAAGAACAAACAGAGGGUUAUGGUUGUGAUUGUGAACAUGGAAAAAUGGAUACGGAUAUGCUGAUACUCAUACUCCAUUCUUACACAGAUUAGUUG